ACUAUCACCGUGGUUUGUGCGCAUGCGCAAGAAACGCCCACCGAAUUUCCUACUUUCAUUUUUGAAAAAUCUUCUAUUUGGAGAUAGAUUUGUACGCAUCUAUUUACAUUUUAUCUGCGAAAGAAAAUACACUUGCUCAGUUGCUGAAGUGGCUCUCUUUCUCGUCCUGAAGAGCACACCUAACUUCUAAAACGUAAAAAAAAUUAUGUGAAAGAAAAGGGAAACUAGAUAUUUGAGAGAUAGGAAAUAGAAGAAAAGGAAAAGAAAAAGGAAACUAAAUAUUUGAGAGAUAGAAAAUAGAAGAAAAGGAAAAGGUUAAUCAAGAUUUAGUGCUGGCCACACACUUAAGAAAGAAUAAGAACAAGAAUGUCUUUACAGAAUAGGGGAGACUAUUUUACUGCACUUAGAUUUGUGUUUUUGUUAUAAUUAACUGAUAUUGUAAUUUGUCCUUGGAUAAAAUAUCUGCAAUGUGGAGGACAACUGAACUGUGUUCUUAUAUAUUGAAGACCUACAAUGAUUUAAAAUGCAUGAACUUUAUACUACUGGAAAAUGGUUAUCAUUAAAGUAACAAACACAGAAUUUAUUUACAUGUAUAAAAUGUUAUCUGAAAGGUGAAAGGUGAAAGUAAACAGAUUCCUGGUUGUUUGAAUACAAAUCAAAGCAGUUGUAUUGUGUAGUUUAGAAUAUAUUUACGUUGUUUAUGCAUUUAUAUAUUGGAAUAUUUAGAAUUGUACAAUAUGUUUAAUUUUCUAAAACCUUCGUUCUAUGUUAUGUAGGUUUGAUUUUCAUGAAAUAAAAAGUUCUAAAAUUUUA